rnacentral:rRNA from 1 species
UACAGAGGGUGCAAGCGUUAAUCGGAGUUACUGGGCGUAAAGGGCGCGUAGGUGGUUAUUUAAGUUUGAUGUGAAAUCCCUGGGCUUAACCUAGGAACUGCAUUGAAAAACUGGAUAACUGGAGUACUGUAGAGGGUAGUGGAAUUUCCGGCGUAGCGGUGAAAUGCGUAGAGAUCGGAAGGAACACCAGUGGCGAAAAGCGGCUUCCCCGGUCCAGCACCGACGUCAGGCACGA